rnacentral:lncRNA from 1 species
CAAGACAUUUAUUCACAAAGAUUAACUCUUCCGAAGUAUUAUUGCGUUAGAGGCGUGGGCUAUGCAAAAAUAUGAAUAAUUCGAGGAAAUAAAAAGGAGCAAGUGCUCGACAACCUCGUAGAAAAAAAUGGACAAAGUGUCCUGCAGUAGAAUUAGGAGUACCUCGGUAUCCACUUAAAAAAGAGAAAAAAAAAGAAAAUGAUAGCCCAUGGUCCCUCUAAUAAGCAAUAUGCCAUUAAGAGUUGACAAGUUUUUAAUUUUCAAAGUCUUUGAUCUAAGAGUAUGACAUUCUUCUCCUCGGAUCCCGUUUUGAUCAGGCAAUAAAUACAAAUUAAGUAUGCUUGAGAAUUUUUUGCAAAUUAAAACAACCUCAGUGAGGUACAAAAGAUAAUGAGUGACUUGAGAGAACCUAUGAGGAUAAAAGCAUGCUAAAUUUCUUUUCAAAAAUAUACAAAAACUCCAAGUAACAGGAUUGAAAGGAAGAAAGGAUCUCUACUCUUGAUCAUGUAUUUCCCUGACUAAGGUACACAGUGAAUUUUAACAACACCCUGCAGGUAUGAAGAAAAUGCUUUACAAUGUUUUGACCCCAGAUAUUUUUCUUAACCAUCCUUUUCUCGAGGACGAGUAAAAGCAUAAGUAUGGGGGUAUUUGUUGACGGUUCUUAAGUAUUAAUUUUAAUUAUCAAAUAAACAAGAGAAAGGACCAAUAUACAAACAACACCUAGAAUUAGGGUUCGAUCUGACACAAUUCCAAGAGUUUUGUUGUUUAUUUGUUUCUGUAGGGGGUUAUCAGGAAAUAAGGAAGAAAGGCCCACAUGUCGGGAUUACAUAGAGAUAUUAACGCACUGCGCAAUUUUCUACCAUCUAGAAGACUCCAGAAGCGAUGGGAACGAACGGGAAGGCGCCUAGGGUGCCCACCCAGGUGUUGUGUCCAAUCCCGUCCAACUUCGCAGAUCACGCUCCACCGACGUAAAGGAUCAAGGAUAACCGUUCAAUCAAUGUCGGUUUGAACCAAUGGCCCACGUUCACUUGAGGGGGCAAUAUAAGCAGACCCCCUGGCCCCUGGAGGAGAACAAGUUCAUCAUAGAGUUGAGAGGAGCCCUCGAAGGAUAACCUCUCCUCUAAAUAGACUUAGGGCUUAGCAUCCAACGUGAGUAGAAUUAGUUCUUCUAAGUUCUACUAGAUUGAGAGAGAUAGAGUGGAGGUGUAGAUCGGAGGAAGCCCGGCCUGUCGAUGUCUACUCCGAGGUUGUACCUGCGGGAUCAAGUUCUCCUAACCCGAAGCUUGCUCCUAGGAUUCUUCAGUAUUUCGACUUCUAAAUUCUAGUAAGUUCUUGUUUUAUUGUUCGUUGGUUUAUGAGUUUACUUUAAUCUCUUCACGCAGAGUUUAGAGUAAUCAUCUCUAGCCUAGACGUGGUGUUUGGGCUAGGAAACUCAUAGAUAUUCCCUGACUAGCUGGACCGUGGUAGUAGCGAGGAACGUGACAUUUCCGAGUUACAUUUGCAGCCCAUAACCCGUUAGU